rnacentral:rRNA from 1 species
GACUAUGGCCAUACCACUCUGAACAUGCCCAAUCUAAUCUGAUCUUGGAAGCUAAGCAGGGUUGGACCUUGUUAGCACUUGUAUGGGAAAUACAUGAACUUUGUAUACC